UACGCCCAUAUCACGUUGAAACAUCGGUUCCCUUAAGAUCACCGAAAUUAAGCAACGUCGAACCUGGUCAAUAUCUAGAUGGGCGACCACUUGGAAAUAUCAGGUGUAGUA